UAACACUGGGUAACCUGCCCAUCAGAGGGGGGUAACAUUCGGAAACGGAUGCUAAAACCGCAUAGGUCCUUUAACCGCAUGGUUGAAGGAGGAAAAGAGGCGCAAGCUUCUGCUGAUGGAUGGACCCGCGGUGCAUUAGCUAGUUGGUGAGGUAACGGCUCACCAAGGCCGUGAUGCAUAGCCGACCUGAGAGGGUGAUCGGCCACAUUGGGACUGAGACACGGCCCAA
rnacentral:rRNA from 1 species